rnacentral:rRNA from 1 species
GAAUAUUGGACAAUGGGCGAAAGCCUGAUCCAGCCAUGCCGCGUGCGUGAAGAAGGUCUUCGGAUUGUAAAGCACUCUAAGUUGGGAGGAAGGGUUGUAGCUUAAUACUCUGCAAUUUUGACGUUACCGACAGAAUAAGCACCGGCUAACUAUGUGCCCUCAGCCGCGGUAAUACAGGGGGUGCAAGCGUUAAGCGGAAUUACUGGGCGUAAAGCGCGCGUAGGUGGUUUGUUAGGUUGGAUGUGAAAUCCCCGGGCUCAACCUGGGAACUGCAUCCAAAACUGGCAAGCUAGAGUAUGGUAGAGGGUGGUGGAAUUUCCUGUGUAGCGGUGAAAUGCGUAGAUAUAGGAAGGAACACCAGUGGCGAAGGCGACCACCUGGACUGAUACUGACACUGAGGUGCGAAAGCGUGGGGAGCAAACA